AUCCUUCCCAUACAACAGGCUCCCCUGACAUUACAGGAAAUAUCACCGAUACCAGCCUGCCAUAUGGGCUUCUCCAGGCAGGGCAUCUGCUGUGUGCUGUGGCGGCACAUGGUGGAGACGAGAAAGGUUUAACAUUUUUCAUUAGUGUAUGCCAUAGACAGUUGAACUCCAUUAUAAUGUCUGCAGGAAGAAUCUGAUCCAUUCCAUUAUCACAGUGACAAAGAGAAAGGAUGGCUUGCGAUUUCAGAAAGGUCACAAUGAACUGGUUGUUCAGCUGUAAGCACUCAAGGGAUACACGAAGAUGCCUGUUGCUAUGGGAGUGAUUGUGAUGUCACAAAUGGAAGAUAAUUGUUUCACUGUAACAUUGAAAAUACAUCUGCAAUGUAAAGAUCUAAUUUGGAAAAUUCAGGUCUGAUCAAGAUGGAAUCAACAGGGAUACAAUUUGCCCUCUGAACUGAAAUAACUACAAAUUCAGACAAAGAAUAUGACAAAGAACAGUGAUCCAUGAGGA